rnacentral:rRNA from 1 species
GACGGAAGGUGCAAGCGUUGCUCGGAAUCACUGGGCGUAAAGGGUGCGUAGGCGGCUUGGUGGGUCUGGUGUGAAAGCCCCGGGCUCAGCCCGGGAAGGGCACUAGAAACUGCCGAGCUGGAGUGCCGGAGGGGAGAGUGGAAUUCCUGGUGUAGCGGUGAAAUGCGUAGAUAUCAGGAGGAACACCGGUGGCGAAGGCGGCUUUCUGGACAGAAACUGACGCUGAUGCGCGAAAGCUAGGGGAGCAAACAGG